rnacentral:lncRNA from 1 species
AUCUUUGUUCUAAUUAAUUUUUCCCCGUGUAAAUUCCCAUAAGGAAUCGGGGUCCCUUUACUUUUAAUUCAUUUUCUACUUAUUGGUGUCUUCAAUCCAAUAUAUUUCUCGUGGAUCUUGUUCCCCGAAUAACUGGUAACAUUUUCAUGUAUGACAUGUUGUGUGUUUGUGCGUCUGAAUAGGUCAGCCAAGUUAUGUAUUUAACUAAAGAUGUUGACUGGGCAUCUGGCACCAACACGUAAUCAUGAGAAUAAUUCCAUUGGGAUGGCUACUGUUAAAAGAAUUAGUCGCUCUGUAAGAAGGCAGAUUGCUAGUAUAUGUUGAAAGAUACACCCACACGUUCCAAAAGAUGCAGUAACUGAUGUCAUGAAAGAUAACGCUGGAGAUACCCAAUGCAGAACACCUUUGAUUAACACAUCAACAAAUUGGUGAAUCAACAAACGAGCAGCAUCCAUCUACCUGCAACACAGCUCUUGCAUUAGAAAACCAGGCAUUGGUUCUUCGAUAAAAGUAUUGAAAAAUGAAAAGACAAUAACUAGUUGAAACAGUGUCACAUCUUCAGUAUCUGUAUUAAAAACUUCUUUUCACCUCGUUUAAUACAAUGUUUCUCUAGAAAAAAGAA